GGGGGUGUAACUCAGUGGUAGAGUGCCUGCUUUGCAUGCAUGAAGCCCGGGGUUCGAUCCCCCGCUCCUCCA
rnacentral:tRNA from 2 species